CGGGUAUAGCUCAAUGGUAGAGUUCCAGCUUCCCAAGCUGGCUGUGCGGGUUCGAUUCCCGUUACCC
rnacentral:tRNA from 1 species